CUCAACUAAUAAAAUAGACCUUUUAGGAGGUGCCUUAUAUGUCCAGUGGAUGUCUAUUUUUUUCCUUCACUCUAAUUUAAAUAAAUUUUCAAUAGAAUGCACAGAUUAGGCCGGGCGCGGUGGCUCAUGCCUGUAAUUCCAGCACUUUGGGAGGCCAAGGCAGGCGGAUCACCUGAGGUCCGGAGUUCCAGACCAUCCUGACCAACAUGGAGAAACCCCAUCUCUACAAAAAAUACAAAAUUAGCUGGGCGUGGUAGUGCAUGCCUGUAACCCCAGCUACUCGGGACGCUGAGGCAGGAGAAUCGCUGAACCCCGGGAGGCGGAGGUUGCCGUGAGCCGAGAUUGCGCCACUGCACUCCAGCCUGGGCCACAAAAGCGAAAGUCCGUCUAAAAAAAAAAAGAAUGCACGGAAUAAUAAAAAGUUUCUACAAGCAUGAGGUCUAUGUUCUGAGACAUUACUAGCAUUUUUCUACCCUCUCAAGUUCCAAGGCUCACAUUAUCUCUGCAAUGGAUACUUCAAUUGCUCCUUAAAUGGUCUCCAAACACCACUCUGACGCAACUCCAAACUGUUCUCCAUACUAUAUCCAAGGCAAAGAUUUUGAAAGAAUUCAGAGGAAAUAUAGAUGGCCUAGGAAACAUAGAUGGCUUCAGCAAAAAGAUUUUCAAGAUAAGAGAGGACCUCAAGGAAAAAAUCAAAUCAAUAAUUCAGCCAA
rnacentral:lncRNA from 1 species